ensembl:lncRNA
GUUUAUGGCAAAGAACACAGUCAUCAUUCACAGCAGUUCACUGUAGCGAAACAGGCAAGCAAAAACCCGAGAAGAGGGGGGCAGGGAACUCAGAAAGCUUUGCUGCCACGCUUUCAUCAAGCUUCACCUGCAUGCAAAACAUCAUCGUGACAGGGACGGUUUUCUCCUUCUCAACUUUGGGCUUGGACACUCUCAGCAUCCAGCCACAGGGUGCCAUAUUCUAAUCUACGCCCACAAGCCUGCUGGCCCCUCGACAGUAAAAGCAUCUUUCAGCCAUCUUGGAGAAGGCCUGCAUUUGAUCAAGGUGUCUGAUCAAGUCAAAGCUCAUGCAGGAAGACGCUCACCUGCUCCAUCUCCGAUGCCUGAUGUGGAUCUGGAGCAGAAGAGGACGUCUGUGUGGCUGAUGAUGUACUCCACCACAUCUGACUGCCUCUGCAGUUCCAUGCAGGCAGCUCUUCCGCUGGCGCA